AUUCAGUUGUCCAUGCUGCCCCUGUCUAUAUAUAAUAUACUUGUCCAAGACUCUCCACUGUUACCAAAUACCAUCUAUGUUUCAAACUCCAAAUUGGUUCUCUCUCUUCCUCAUCAUCAUUCUCCUAUUUUUUUUUCUUCUAUCAAAUUCAUUCUCCUAUUCUUUUCCCCUACUUGUUAGAUCUCAUAAAAGGAUAUACUUCAACCACACAACACAUCAUCUCUUAUAUGCUUCAGUUUUCUUCGAUCUAUAUAGGUUUUCAUUUCUUUUUUGGUCAAGACUUUUACACCAAAAAAAACAACAAAGGGUUUAGUUUUUGCUUUAAUUUAGUUUUGUUUUCGAGGAAAGAGCUUCUUCACCUGCAUAGUUUCUCUCUUGUUCGCUCUUUUUAGUUUCUCUUUGUGACUUUUUAUCUAUAAGAAUAUUUUCUGUCAUGAUAUGAUAUGUACUUUUGGAGAGAUUGGCAGGAAGAAGGGCAUAGUUGCAUGGACAGAUAAACAGUCGUCAUUUGCGGAUGUAGCAUCAUCAAGAUUCACAUGAAAGUGCAAGUGGGUUGGUUGGUUGGAUUCUGAUCAGAUCAAUGUAAAUCCAACAACUCCAUAUGUCUUUUUUAACUGAGAAUCUUGAUGAUGCUGCAUCAGCCAUAGACGGCUUUAAAAAUAGUUUGGAUUAGUUCAUAUAAAAUUCAGUCAAAGAUCUGACCAAUGUUUAACCAGGUGCUCGCUCACUCAUCCUUUCAACAACUUUGCUUUUUGUGCUUCUGUCAGGUAGGUUUUCAUUUUUUUAUAUUCUUUUUUGUCUGAAAAUUUAUAAUUUCUUACUCCAUUUUUUUAAUCAAUGGCAUCAUGGGCUUAUUGUACUUUCUUAUAUUAUAAUUUUGUUAUAUUUCAAUAUUAUAUUUAGGUUUUACAAGUUUUGCAGAAAAAGCUAGGGUAUCAAAAAAUAGGCUUACAUGGGGAGGUGAAGAGGGGAAAUUAGGGUUUUUUUUGCUGACUUCAUAGAUCUAUUUAUGUAUAUUCCUUUUCAACAGAAUUGCUGGGAAUGGUAAUGGUGUCUUUUCAGUUUCUAAAUAUAGAUGAUGAUGAUGACAAUGAUGUAUGAUACUUUAUCCAAAUCUGGGUGAGAAUUAUCAGAAGGCUAGGAGAAGAAAAUAAAAUUAGUAUUUUGAUUUAUUAGUAUUGACUACUCAAUAGUACGGUUGAUAUAUGUUGCUAUAAUUAUGGUAACUUUUACUUAUGAUGUGUAGUUAGUUUUUCCUUGAAUAUAGUAUAUUGCUAGACCAAAUAUAGAUUUUUUUGAUCUACAGAUCUGUAGAGAACUUCAACAAAAUCUGCAAUUUUUUGUGGUAAGGUUUAUGAAAAACUGUCUCGAAUGAUCUAUGAUGGAUUCGUAGUUUAACAUGAUUGGAAACUCUAAGAAAGACCGAUAAUUCUCGUUAUAACAGAACUCAGAAGGCAAUCCUAGUUUGUGUUAAUUCGCCUUCAAAGAAAACAAAUACUAUGUGUGUUUGUUUUCUCUUAUUUUGUUGAAUUCACAUUUACUUGACAUAGUUUUAAAUUGCAGUUUGCAGCGCAUAAUAUUACUGUUGUGGUUGUCUCCGUAACAAUAUCGGUCAACAACUGCAAUAAACGGCAACGCACGUGGCAUCGAGCAUCAAUCGCAAUGAGUGCAAUCGCAACACCUGCAGCUGUAUUCACAAUUUAAAACUAUGCAUAAGGACAUAAGGACAACACCUGCGACUUCAAACACAAUGUUUGAAGUUUUGUGUGAUUUUAAAUCAUUUAUCCGGUGUAGAACUAUGAGCUACGCCUUCACUCUAUUAAUCAUCUUUUUUGAUGUCUAUACAGAGAAAGUUAAAGUUAAAAGGUUUGUUGAGUCA